CGCUCGUAGUCGGGUUUCGGGUCGGGCCGAGCGGUCUGCCGAUGGGUAUGCACUGUUUGGCGCGGCCUUCUUUCCGGAGACCGCGGCUACUCUUAACUGAGCGGGCGUGGGAGACGGAUCGUUUACUUUGAAAAAAUCAGAGUGUUUCAAGCAGGCAGCUCGCUCUUGCAUGGUACAGCAUGGGAUGAUUGAAUAGGACUCCGGUGCUAUUUUGUUGGUUUCGAACACCAGGAGUAAUGAUUAACAGGGACAGUCAGGGGCACUCGUAUUCCGUCGAGAGAGGUGAAAUUCUCAGACCAAUGGAAGACGAACCACUGCGAAAGCAUUUGCCAGGGAUGUUUUCACUGAUCAAGAACGAAAGUUAGGGGAUCGAAGACGAUCAGAUACCGUCGUAGUCUUAACCAUAAACCAUGCCGACUAGGGAUUGGAGGGUGUUCGUUUCGACCUCUUCAGCACCUUACGGGAAACUAAAGUCUUUGGGUUCCGGGGGGAGUAUGGUCGCAAGGCUGAAACUUAAAGGAAUUGACGGAAGGGCACCACCAGGAGUGGAGCCUGCGGCUUAAUUUGACUCAACACGGGGAAACUUACCAGGUCCAGACAUUGUUAGGAUUGACAGAUUGAGAGCUCUUUCUUGAUUCGAUGGGUGGUGGUGCAUGGCCGUUCUUAGUUGGUGGAGUGAUUUGUCUGGUUAAUUCCGAUAACGAACGAGACCGUAGCCUGCUAAAUAGUCCCGCGAACUUCUUGUUGGCGGCCGACUUCUUAGAGGGACAACUUGUGACCAACAAGUGGAAGUUUGCGGCAAUAACAGGUCUGUGAUGCCCUUAGAUGUUC
rnacentral:rRNA from 1 species